GAUGAACGCUAGCGACAGGCCUAACACAUGCAAGUCGAGGGGCAGCAUGGUUGGUAGCAAUACCGACUGAUGGCGACCGGCGCACGGGUGCGUAACAGGUGUGCAAUCUGUCCAUAGUCGGGGGAUAGCCCAGCGAAAGCUGAAUUAAAACUCCAUGUGAAUCGAAGCCGCAUGACUUUGAUUUGAAACGCAAGGACUAUGGAUGAGCACGCUUCUGAUUAGGUAGUUGGUGAGGUAACGGCCCACCAAGCCGACGAUCAGUAGGGGUUCUGAGAGGAAGGUCCCCCACAUUGGAACUGAGACACGGUCCAAACUCC
rnacentral:rRNA from 1 species